GGAGGAUGGAGAGGUGGUUGGGAAUGGAUUAUCGCUGCCUGAAUAUGGACCAUUUGUGAGCUUUUUGAUCAUUCGUGUCAGUAGACUAAGAAGAAUUGUUCCUUUUUUUUUUGCAAAAUUCGGCGGCAUUUUUUCGUUUUUGGGCGAUCCUGCACCGAAGAUAUAAUGAAAGAAGAACUUCAAAAUUUGUAGAAAAUAGUUCCUUCGCCAUCGUUCUACCUUAUUUUAUCUAAUUAGAGUUGCGAUCUUCGUAAAUUGUAAACUAUCGAAAUAGAUUUAUAGAGAUUUCUUUUUUCAACAGUUUCUCUUUACUUAUUUAAUGUUAAUUUAUUUGUGUCAUGCGAGUGAGUGAUGCGACGAAUCACGUGCGUUCUCCACCAUAACCUGUUAAUAAAUAAUAUUUACAGCA